UCCGAAAAUACUUGUCAUCAAAAUGGAUAAAAAGAGAUGUAUCUAAACUAAAAUACGUUUAGAUACAUUCCCUUUUAUCCAUUUUAAUGACAAGUAUUUUCGGA
rnacentral:pre_miRNA from 1 species